rnacentral:sRNA from 1 species
AUAUAGCCCCGACAGUAGCGGCAUCCUUUUUGUUUUUUCUUUAAAAACAAAAAGAUAGAGCGAAUGGCGGGAACUGGC